rnacentral:rRNA from 1 species
CUAUACAUGCAGUCGAGCGGACAGAAGGGAGCUUGCUCCCGGAUGUUAGCGGCGGACGGGUGAGUAACACGUGGGUAACCUGCCUGUAAGACUGGGAUAACUCCGGGAAACCGGAGCUAAUACCGGAUAGUUCCUUGAACCGCAUGGUUCAAGGAUGAAAGACGGUUUCGGCUGUCACUUACAGAUGGACCCGCGGCGCAUUAGCUAGUUGGUGAGGUAACGGCUCACCAAGGCGACGAUGCGUAGCCGACCUGAGAGGGUGAUCGGCCACACUGGGACUGAGACACGGCCCAGACUCCUACGGGAGGCAGCAGUAGGGAAUCUUCCGCAAUGGACGAAAGUCUGACGGAGCAACGCCGCGUGAGUGAUGAAGGUUUUCGGAUCGUAAAGCUCUGUUGUUAGGGAAGAACAAGUGCAAGAGUAACUGCUUGCACCUUGACGGUACCUAACCAGAAAGCCACGGCUAACUACGUGCCAGCAGCCGCGGUAAUACGUAGGUGGCAAGCGUUGUCCGGAAUUAUUGGGCGUAAAGGGCUCGCAGGCGGUUUCUUAAGUCUGAUGUGAAAGCCCCCGGCUCAACCGGGGAGGGUCAUUGGAAACUGGGAAACUUGAGUGCAGAAGAGGAGAGUGGAAUUCCACGUGUAGCGGUGAAAUGCGUAGAGAUGUGGAGGAACACCAGUGGCGAAGGCGACUCUCUGGUCUGUAACUGACGCUGAGGAGCGAAAGCGUGGGGAGCGAACAGGAUUAGAUACUUUUUGUUUUUCAA